rnacentral:sRNA from 1 species
UCUGUAAUCUGGUUUGGAUAUAUAUAUAUAUAUAUAUAAAUAACCCUUUUAAAAUCUGUUGUAAAUAUUUUAAAACCCUUUUAAAAUCCCUUGUAAAUUUUUUAAAAU